UACGUAGGGGGCGAGCGUUGUCCGGAAUUACUGGGCGUAAAGCGCGCGCAGGCGGUCGGCCAAGUCCGGCGUGAAAGCUCCCGGCUUAACUGGGAAGGGUCGCUGGAAACGGGUCGACUGGAGGACGGGAGAGGAGCGUGGAAUUCCCGGUGUAGUGGUGAAAUGCGUAGAGAUCGGGAGGAACACCAGUGGCGAAAGCGGCGCUCUGGCCCGCCCCUGACGCUGAGGCGCGAAAGCGUGGGGAGCAAACGGG
rnacentral:rRNA from 1 species